UUGUUCCCUAGAGUCCCUGGAAAUGCCAUUUGCUGGUGCCAGGUUUGCUACCGAUGCUCCGAGUCCGAGAGGAGACGGACUGACGCAUCUCAGCUUCUGCAACAUGGUCGCGGUCAGAACAAGCCGGCUCAUAAAGGUCCAGGGUCCAGGCACCAGGCAGAGGCUUUUUCGGAGGUUUUCUCGCUGUCGUUUCUGUGCCCACCGUGCCACGCGUGGAAGCGUGCGAGUCUGUGCAACGUCCCCGGGGGCGGAAGCGAAGGGCUGUUGUGCAGGCAGGCCCCUGGCUUCCACCUGUCACCGGAAGACGCCGAGCAUCCAAACUUUGGGGGAAAAGAAAGUCGAGGUGUCUGUGCUUGCUGGCAGGGUGGAUCUUACAAGGAAAUGCAUAAGCCCUUCCAGGAACCCCUCAGGUGACUGUGCCGAGACAGGAAAUCCAGUGACUCGCAGGGCCCCACAUACCAUCAAGCUCCCCCCUGGGACCCCUGUGGAAUGAGAAACCGUUCAAGCUGCACUUCAGGACAAGUGAGAGGAAGGUUUGCUUCCCCUCUAGAUAAGCCAAUUACCUGUGGAAGGAGCAAAGAGGGGCUCCAUGUGCUCCAGGACAAAGCUCUCGUGCAUUCCUGACGUGACUCACGAUCGCCGCGUUGGUGCCGGCUGCAGUGAGAAUGUCCCCAGGGCUCUCGGGACGGGACGCUGCAAACAUGACCUGACCACCCAGCCCCACGGCUUUGGUUGUGGGGUGCAUGAGACUGCAUCAGGCCCAGACCAGUUUGCACCCAGGCUUUGCUGCUCUCACCUCCGGAGAGGCUUCUGCCUCCGAGGGGCUGUUCUGUGUCCGCGGUAGAUGCCCUUCUGCUCCCUGUACAUGCCUUUGUGGGCCACUUCCCAGCAGUGCUGCCCAAGAUGCACCCAGUGGGUGUUUCGGGGUGGCUGCAAUUAGCUCUCGGGUGUUACUGUGCCCCCUUCCAGGCGGAGGAUAGACUCUGAAGGGAGAGGGCCAGCAGGAAAGGACCCUUGCCCUGAGCACACUCGAGGAGCGCUUCUAUGUCCUUAGGAUGGGGACUCGUUCAUGGAAAAGGUUAGCAAGCUGUCGGGCCCUGCUGAUUCUGUGAGCAGUUCCCGGAGUGACUUCACGUGGCAUCGUUUCCUGAGCCCCAGUCCCAGACGGGGACCGCAUUGCACCAGGUGCUGUACAAACACAGAGAAGGAUGCAGGCUGUGCCUCCAGCCCUGGCUCUGAAAUCGCUUCAUGCUUGUUUAACAACUUCCUCUGAAGCUGCAAUUCCCUUCUCAUCACAUGACUCCAGGAGCUUGGGCUUUGAAAAGAAGAAAUAACAAGCAGCAAUGUCCAUAGUGAGCCGCAGCGGUCGGACGGGAAGCAGUCGCCGGUCCGGAGCAGUGACGGGCAGGUUGGAGGUGAUGAGCACGCCAGUCCCCUUUAGCUUGAGUGUCUCUGGAUCGAUGAAAGCCGGCGAGGCUGUUGGAGGGUAUCACCUGGGAGGUGAGUACUUUGCACUGGGUUCCCCGGUGGCGGGGCUGUUACCACUGUACGACACCCCAAGACAGUCUCUGUCCCGGGGCGAAGCUCUGGUCAUUCAUUGGCACUCUUCUUGGCAUAGCAGUAGCCCGGUGGGGUGUUAAAGGGGAGUCUGAGCACCCCACAGGCUGACCGGGGAAGCCAGGGGUGCUCUGCACCUCCCAGGGUCGGGUCCUGCGUUGAUGAUGUUGAGAGAUCCCAUCUGGCCAUUAGAAGGGGGCUGGGGGGCAGGACUGCGCCCUCCCAAACCCUUAUCAGGCAUGUACACUUAAUCCUUCUCUUAAGAAGCACCUAGUUAAUGGCUCCCCUUCCCGCGGGGUUGCUUCAAGGGAUCUCUGGAGCGACUCCUCCUGUGAUCCCUAUCAAGUGCCUCCUCUCCCUUCCUAAUCGCCAGGCUGGUGCCAGGGCCUCCGUCGCUCUCCUGCCCGGGGAUCUGUGUGGAGACAGCCAUCGGGCCGUCUCGCUCGCCAUCCCUCGCUCCCGGCCUGGCCCCGUCUCUUCCACUCCACAGCUCCGUCCCUGAGAAAAAGCAGACCCCCAGCUCGCUGCUGUCACACGGAGGAAACCCCCCCAGGCGGGCAGGAGCGGGUCCGAGGGGGGCUACGGCUCUGUUCCUGCCCCGCUCUCGCUGGGGAUCUUUGGGAUCAGGACCAAACCCAAGUCGGAAGGCGCAGCCCGGGUUGCACGGCUGCUAUUUCCCCAUGUCAAGGACAGCCCUGGCAAUGCCACUGAGAGCUUUUGGCUCCCAGGCAGUGGCAGCCA